GUCUUGUGUCCUUUAUUCAUCUCCGUAAACAGUCAUCAUAUUAACCUGUUGGCUGGUGUUUAUCAGACAGGAGCCUGUGGUUUCCUACUCUGAACGCUGUUCGAGCCAUGUCGACUUCAGGAGGCCCCACUCCACCCUUCACCACCCUGUCAGUCACCCACCCAGCCAAUCACAUCACUCCUGUAGAGCUGCACCGACCAGAGAAACACAACACCAUGAACAAGGCCUACUGGAGUGAAAUGAUCGAAUGCUUUAAUCAGAUUGCUGAAGACUCAGAGUGCCGUGUGUUCUCAGGUGCAGGGAAAAUCUUCACUGCAGGUACAGCAGUAUGUCUUUUUUUUUCCCAGAAUUGGAAAUAUGCUUUAAUUUUUAUGUGGGUUUGCAGUGCUUUUACUCUCACAGCUGUUCAUUAUUAUAAUAAGCAAUGGCUCCAUGUGCUAUAACCACAACACUAAGUGAAGUUCAUUUAACAAGCAUCCUUAUUCUUUCCUAGUGCAGAAUGUAUUAAACUUCAAGUUUAGUAGUUAAUAGUCUUUCUAAUUAGGGAUGUGCCCGGUAUUCGAAUACACAUUUAACCUUUUGAGGUGCCAUUAGUUAAGUCAAGUGGGUUUUUAUUGUCAUUCCUCUAUAUAGCUUGUAUACACUGGAACAAAGUGACAUUCCUUCCGGACCAUGAUGCAACGCAGUUGUGUAUUUGCACUUCAUGUAGUCUUGCGUACUGUUCUGUGUGAGACGAGUGCAACACAAUAAAAACACAAAACAGCAAAUACACAGGACAGUAGAUACACAGGACAUGGACUGUACACUGUAAGCUACUGUGUAAUGUAGCAGCACAUGUAUUGCAGCAAUACUGGCAGCAGAAAUAGUUCUCUAGUAUAAAGUGACUGAUGCAGCUAUGUAGUCUUACUGGGUUAUUGCGGUGUGCAGUGGUAUGAGUCUUACUGGGUGAGGUGUUUGACUAGCCCAGGUGAGCACUGUAAUCUGACUGUCCCAGGGAAGAAACUGUUGCAGAGUCUGCUGGUGGUGGCACCGAUGCUCCUGUACCUUCUGCCAAAUGGCAGGAGGGUGAAUAGUCUGAAAGGGGUCGUCCACAAUAC